rnacentral:hammerhead_ribozyme from 1 species
AUCCAGCUGACGGGUCCCAAAUAGGACGAAACGUGCGUCAAAUUGUAU